GUGUCAGCCGCCGCGGUAAUACGUAGAAGGCGAACGUUAUCCGGAUUUACUGGGCGUAAAGAGAGCGUAGGCGGCUCUUCAAGUCAAGUGUGAAAUCUUCUGACUCAAUCGGAAGGCGCCAUUUGAUACUAAAGGGCUUGAGGGCAGCAGAAGGAAACGGAAUUCCCAGUGUAGCGGUGAAAUGCGUUGAUAUUGGGAAGAACACCAGUGGCGAAGGCGGUUUCCUAGGUUGUUACUGACGCUGAGGCUCGAAAGCGUGGGGAGCAAAGCGGAUUAGAUACCCGUGUAGUCCACGCCUUAAACGGUGGACACUAGAUGUGGGAAGUAUCGACCCUUUCCGUGUCGAAGCUAACGCUUUAAGUGUCCCGCCUGGGGAGUACGGCCGCAAGGCUAAAACUUAAAUGAAUUGGCGGGG
rnacentral:rRNA from 1 species